UGAGGCGUCGGAGAAGCCAUGGACCUCGAUGCGGGUGCAAGAAGGACCCAGAUUAAUCCAGCGAGGUACUCGGAUUUGCUCGAGUACUGGUAUCUGGGCGUGAAAGGUGACCCAGGCUGACGCGGAGGCGUCGUCGAGCGGAGCGUCCCACUCAAGUCCUUGAAGCCAAGUCGAUUGGAAGGCAAUCUUGGCGCGGACCACGACCGGUGCUAGCCAGCCGAGAGGGUCGAAUAGCUGCGCCACCAGAGACAGUACAGACCUCUUGGUGACGGAUGGCAGUGCGAUGUGCCGGGUGGCGAAAGAGAAAUCGUCCGUGGCGGGGUGCCACUGCAGUCCUAAGGUGGAGUGAGCCUCGUGUGGUCGCCAGUCACGGGUCUCGCGCUGCAACUGGUGCUCCGGCGGGAUAUCCCAGAUCACCGCUGAGUCGCUGGCUGACCACUUCCGGAGAGGGAAGCCGCCCGCCAUGCAGAUACUGGACAGCUGUUUGCACAUCUCCUGGGUCUCCGCCAUCGUCGCUGCUCCGGUUAAGAUGUCGUCCAUGUAGACAUCUCGCAGGAGAACGGCCGCUCCUAGAGGGUACUGCUUACCCUCGUCCUCAGCUAAUUGCCUGAGAGCGCGCAUCGCUAGAAACGGAGCACACGCUAGGCCGUAGGUCACUGUGCUCAGCUGGUACUCGGCAGGGCUGUCUUGCGGGGAAUCCCGCCACAGGAUCCUUUGCAGAUCCCUGUCAUCCGGGUGUACCAAGAUCUGUCGGAACAUCUUUUCGACGUCGGUGGCUAGACCGAAGCGGUGCCGUCGCCAACGGAGUAGCACGUCGGCGAGCGGAGGCAACAAGUUCGGACCCACCAUCAAGUGAUCGUUGAGGGUUCUUUUCGAAGUAGUUGGCGUGGAGCCGUUAAAAACUACGCGCAGCUUCGUGGUGACACUGUUCUUCCGCAGCACGCCGUGAUGCGGCAAGUAAUGCACCGGUCUGCGCGACGUAGCGUCCGGAGUCGCGCGAGACAUAUGACGCAGGUCCUCAUACUGCCGCAUGAAGUCGGCAUAGAGGGCUCGAAAAGGAGGAUCCCGAGCGAAACGUCUCUCCAUGCUGAAGAGAACUCGUAAAGCCGUGGAGCGCGUCACCGAGAAGUCUGGCAGCGGGGCAACGACCGGCAGACGUACGACGUACCGACCGUCCGCGGACCGCGAAUGUGUCUGGCGGAAGAAGUUCUCGCACUGUUGAUCCGCGGGUGAGAGAGCUACCGCGGCGUCGGGUAGCUCUUCUUGCUGCCAGAACCUUUGUACGAGAGCGCCUAGGUCCUCCUCGACCAGGCAGUGAUGUGCUGACGCAUGGCGCGAUGUGGACGUCGUACCGACGGCCCCAGACAAUAUCCAGCCCAGCGCCGUCUUUUGUGCCACAGGUUCCCGUGAUUUCCCUCGUCGAAGUCCAGCCUGGAGGAUCAUGGCGUAGACGUCUGCUCCUAGAAGGAUGUCUAUGGGAUCCGUCGCCAAGAAGUCCGGAUCGGCGAGCUCCAGCCCAUGGACGUGCGUCCACGCCCGACGAUUGGCCUUGAUUCCGCCUUCAUAAAGUGUGAGCCGGGGGAAAACCAAGGCGGCCACGCUUAUUAAAGGCCCGUCGCGCAGGGAGCGGAUCUGAAGAGUGACUUGACCGCGGGCGAGGCCCGUCUGCUUGCCGCCGAUUCCAUACACGGCGACGGAGGUAGGAGACCGACCUAGGCGAAGACGUUGGGCCAAAGCUUCGGAAACUAGCGAGGACUCCGAGCCCUGGUCAACUAGUGCGCGUGCAGUGUGAGCGCGGCCGAACCGGUCCAGGACGCGAACGCGCGCGGUAGCGAGGAGAACUGUCGUCGUCGCCUCGACUUUGUGUUGCGCUAAGUGUGACGUCUUAGCGCUCUCGCCGGACGGACAUGCCUCGUGGAGGGUCGUGUGGUGACGCGCGCGACACGACGAACAAGUCUUUUGAGAAGAACACUCGCUUACCUUGUGCCUUCCUAGGCAGUUCAGGCACAAGUCGUUCGCCUCGACGUGACGCUUCCUUUCCUCCGCCGUCUUGCUCUGGUAAAGGUCACAGAACAUAAUAUAGUGAUCCUGACCGCAUAGGGAGCAGCGACCUCGCUUACUGUCCUGCUUACGCGUGUGAAGAGUGCGAGUCUUCUGUGUCGGACUUGGAUGCGGUUUAGAAGAAAUGGCUUCGACCUUGACAGGCUGCAACGAUUCUAAAGUGUGCAGCCGACGAUCCAAGAAGAGCUGGAGUUUGUCGUACGAGGGUGGAUCGUUGGAAUCACUAAUGAAAUUCUCCCACUCGCGGCGAGAUCGAGGAUCAAGCAGGUCAACGACGAGGUGCACGAAAAGAUCUUCACCCUUCGUGAUCGGGCGCCCAAUGCUCUCCAGUGAUCCUACCGUGCUCUUCACGCUGUGGCAAAGUUUGCGCAGUUCCACCACGGACUCGCUCUUCAGCUUCUGGAGUGACGUAAACUGGGAGAUGUAACUGCGCACCAGGAGCCGCUUGUUCUCAUAGCAUGUCUUCAGGUAGUGGAGCUUCUCGACUGAGGACGUGAGAGUGUCCCUUCCGAUUAGCGAUUGGAAGAGAUCACGGAAGGCUGGCCAAUCCUCGUACUUCCCGGAGAAAUGAGGCAGCUGGAUCCUCGGAAGAGUCGUGCGGGGUGCUUGCGAGGACGGCUCUGACCCUCUCGUGCCAGCUUCCUUCUCUUCCGUCUUGAGGUUACGCAGGAGGUCCAACAGCAGGCCCUUAUUGGCGAGGUAGGCCUCUUCAGCCAGAGCAGGUAUGUCGAGUCUUAUGUACUCUGAAUCGGCCACUUGGUCGAGAUAAUUCAAGAGCUCAUCGUUGUGCGCGUCGAACUUCGUCCAGUACCUUUCCAAGGACUGCAAUCGCGCCUCCACUGCGCCCACCGUGAUCUUGGCAGCGCCCAGCUUCAUCAGGUUCUCGUGACUGGUGUUCGGAGCACAGAGAACCACAACACUUCGCACUCACUCCGCGUCGUAGAAAAACCGGUCACUAAAUAUCCGGCUCGAAGGACCAGCAAAUGAUAGAGUUUAUGCGAGAUUGACGCGGGAGGCAAGCGCGAAACCGAAGGAUAAAAAUCCGCGAGGAGAGAGAACGAAGAGAAAUUAAUUCGACGAUAAUCUAGGUCUUUUAACAAUAAU
rnacentral:lncRNA from 1 species